CGCGUGCGGGAUGAAGGCCUUCGGGUUGUAAACCGCUUUCAGCAGGGACGAGGCGAAAGUGACGGUACCUGCAGAAGAAGCCCCGGCUAACUACGUGCCAGCAGCCGCGGUAAUACGUAGGGGGCAAGCGUUAUCCGGAUUCAUUGGGCGUAAAGCGCGCGUAGACUGCCCAGUAGGUCGAGAGUUAAAUCCGGGGGCUCAACCCCCGUCCGCUCCCGAUACCGCUGGGAUUCGAGUCUGGUAGGGGAAGGUGGAAUUCCCAGUGUAGCGGUGGAAUGCGCAGAUAUUGGGAAGAACACCGGUGGCGAAGGCGGCCUUCUGGGCCAUGACUGACGCUGAGGCGCGAAAGCUAGGGGAGCGAACAGGAUUAGAUACCCUGGUAGUCCUAGCCGUAAACGAUGGGCACUAGGUGUGGGGAGGCUUACUUUCCGUGCCGACGCUAACGCAUUAAGUGCCCCGCCUGGGGAGUACGGCCGCAAGGCUAAACUCAAAGGAAUUGACGGGGGCCCGCACAAGCA
rnacentral:rRNA from 1 species